AAUAAAUUAAAGACUGGCCACAAGUACAAGGUAAUUAACACACAAUCGACUGGUUAAUUGCACAAUAAAUUUUAAACAAACCACAUGUUCAA